rnacentral:lncRNA from 1 species
GAUUAAGGUUAUUAUUUUUAUUUGUUUGUUGUGGUAGAAUUAAGUAUUUUGUUUUCGUAUCGAAAUUACCCUGUUUUUGGCGGGGAUGGCAGCCCGAAUGGGGAUGCCGUCCCUGUCACUUCGGCACGGCUUUAGGUGUGUUACUGAAGCUACUGUCACGGUGGAGGAGUUUCUGGUCGCCGUAGGAGAGAAGGACCUGAGCCCUAGGACCAUGCCUCAGGACUACCUGGUAUGAUGACUCCUUGCUGUCCCCAGUCCACCUGGCCGUGCUGCUGCUCC